CUGUCUUUAACACUGGCAUAAUAGUAUCUUCUCAGUAGAUUAUAAUAUAAAUUGAAUUUAUUAAUGCUUAUUAAACAGAGUUGACAGCCCUGCUCAUGGUGAAAGAUGGCACUUCUUGCAAUUUGGUUCACAUUCAUAUUGUGUUGAAACAGCCAUUUAUCUUAGACUUUUUACAUUAACCUUACUUUCAGCAGAUUUCUUGUAACAAAGAGGUAAUUUAUUAUUUAUUUAUUUACUUUACAGAGCCUCCUCUGUCACCUGGGCUGGAGUGCGAUGGUGUCAUCUUGGGUCACUGCAGCUUCUGCCUCUUAGGUUCAAGUGAUUCUCAUGCCUCAGCUUCCCAAGUAGCUGGGAUUACAGGCAUGCGCCACCAGGCCCAGCAAAGUUUUGUAUUUAUAGUAGAAAUGGGGUUUCACUGUGUUAGCCAGGUUGUUCUCAAACUCCUCACCUCAGGUGAUCACCUGCCUCUGCCUCCCAAAGUGCUGGGAUUAAAGGAAUGAGCCACUGGGUCGGGCAAACACAGAGAUAAAUUGAAAGCAUAUUUAAAUGUUUCCUGUUUCAUCAGUGUUUUGUCUCCUCAGUACCAAAUAAAACAAUAUGAUAACAUCCAACAAUAGCUUCACAUAAUGAAAUAAAAUUGUUUGAAUACAAAGAUAGGGCAACAUGGCUAAUGCCUUUAUGAAAUGCAUUUGGAAUUUGGAUUCUGAAGAUUGUAUUGUGAAAUUGUAGUUGCCACUUAACAAAUGUAAUAGCAAUUGCUAUUGCUGCCUGCUUCAAAAACACAUGGAUCCAAUGUAGAAACAACACACUGAAAGCUACAUUUCAUAUAAUUUCAAUUACUAAAAUUGGCCUUGUCAAGAACAUGAGUAAUCUAAAUUGGGUGUGUGAACUUAUAGGUCCAUAAACCUACUCCUCAAUUAAAGAAGAAAAUCAAAGGGUUGUUAUUGUUACUCUUCCCGGGUACAUAUGCAGAACGUGUAGGUUUGUUACAUUGGUAUACACUUGCCAUGGUGGCUUGCUGCACCCAUCAACCUGUCAUCUACAUUAGAUAUUUCUCCUAAUGUUAGACAACACUCAGAUUUGCAAGAGCAAAGGAAAUCAUUAACAAAUGAACUAUCAACGAUUGCCAAAAUUCUUUCCAUAUUGGCUGCCUAUACUUGGGUCUUCUGCAGCCUGGGAAACAUGGCAAACUCCCACCAUUACAAAAAAAUACAAAAAUUAGUUGGUCAUGGUAGAUCUCACAUAUAAAAGCUAAGAUCCUGUUUCCAGCAUCUGUCCAGAACCCACCUUGUUAGGUCUUUGAAUGAUACCACUGGGCAUCAUGAGUUGUGAAUAAGUCCAUUGAAAUUUCAUUAUUUUCAGGAUUUCCCCUUGUAUUAGUCUAUUCUCUUGCUGCUGUAAGGACAUACUAGGUAAUUUUUAAAGAAAAAGAGGUGGCUGGGUGUGGUGGCUCACACCUGUAAUCCCAGGACUGUAUCCUCCCACAAGAACAAAGUAUGAAAAAGGAACAUUUACUUUAAAAAAAUGGAGCUGCAAGGUUGUGGUUUUGGGGAAGUUACAGUUUUGCAAGGAAGCUGCAAGACGGUAAGACUUUCGCAGUAAAUUUUACGAAAACGUGAAUGUGUCAG
rnacentral:lncRNA from 1 species